rnacentral:rRNA from 1 species
ACCUGCGGAAGGAUCAUUGUCGAAACYUGCCCAGYAGAAGGACCGGCGAAC